rnacentral:rRNA from 1 species
AGAGUUUGAUCCUGGCUCAGGAUGAACGCUGGCGGCGUGCUUAACACAUGCAAGUCGAACGAACCUUCGGGUUAGUGGCGGACGGGUGAGUAACGCGUGAGAAUCUGCCCUCAGGAGGGGGAUAACGGUUGGAAACGACCGCUAAUACCCCAUAUGCCGAGAGGUGAAAUGAAAUUCGCCUGAGGAUGAGCUCGCGUCUGAUUAGCUAGUUGGUAGGGUAAAGGCCUACCAAGGCAUUGAUCAGUAGCUGGUCUGAGAGGAUGAUCAGCCACACUGGGACUGAGACACGGCCCAGACUCCUACGGGAGGCAGCAGUGGGGAAUUUUCCGCAAUGGGCGCAAGCCUGACGGAGCAACGCCGCGUGAGGGAUGAAGGCCUCUGGGCUGUAAACCUCUUUUAUCAAGGAAGAAGAACUGACGGUACUUGAUGAAUAAGCCACGGCUAAUUCCGUGCCAGCAGCCGCGGUAAUACGGGAGUGGCAAGCGUUAUCCGGAAUUAUUGGGCGUAAAGCGUCCGCAGGCGGUUUUACAAGUCUGUCGUUAAAGCGUGGAGCUCAACUCCAUUUCAGCGAUGGAAACUGUAAGACUCGAGUGUGGUAGGGGCAGAGGGAAUUCCCGGUGUAGCGGUGAAAUGCGUAGAUAUCGGGAAGAACACCAGUGGCGAAAGCGCUCUGCUGGGCCAUAACUGACGCUCAUGGACGAAAGCCAGGGGAGCGAAAGGGAUUAGAUACCCCUGUAGUCCUGGCCGUAAACGAUGAACACUAGGUGUCGGGGGAAUCGACCCCCUCGGUGUCGUAGCCAACGCGUUAAGUGUUCCGCCUGGGGAGUACGCACGCAAGUGUGAAACUCAAAGGAAUUGACGGGGGCCCGCACAAGCGGUGGAGUAUGUGGUUUAAUUCGAUGCAACGCGA